rnacentral:lncRNA from 1 species
GCUUUGCUCAUGUAAGCAAUAGGUUUCUGAUUCUGCAUGAGAACAGCUCCCACUCCAACUCUACUGGCAUCAGUCUCUAAUGUGAAAGGUUGAGUAAAAUCAGGCAAUGCUAACACUGGUGCAGACACCAUAGCUUGUUUCAAACCAUCAAAGGCUCUAGUAGCUUCAGGAGACCACUUAAAACUGUCUUUUUUUAAGAGUUCAGUGAGGGCUUGCUGAUCAACCCAUAAUGCCUAAUGAAUUUCCUAUAAUAUCCAGUCAGCCCAAGAAACCCCCUCAGUUGCUUAAGAGUCUUUGGAACAGGCCAGCUAAGCAUGCUAUCCACCUUCUGUGGAUCAGUAGCAACUCCAUCCUUGGAUAUGAUAUGGCCUAGAUACUCAAUACUUUGCACACCAAAUUGGCACUUACUCAUUUUUGCAUACAAAGUUUGUGAUCUGAGCACCUCCAACACAACCUUGAUAUGCAAUAGAUGUUCCAUAUACCCUUUACUGUAGACCAGAAUAUCAUCAAAGAAAACCAGUACACAUUUCCUCAAAUAUGGUUGAAAUACCUGAUUCAUUAAUGACUGAAAUGUUGCAGGGCAUUACAAAGACCAAAAGGCAUCACCAAGAAUUCAAAAUGCCCAUGAUGAGUGCUAAAAGCUGUCAGGUAUCUAUCUUCCUCCUUCAUUAAAAUCUGAAAAUACCCAGAUCUCAAGUCUAACUUAGAGAAGUAGCUAGCUCCGUACAACUCAUCAAGCAACUCAUCAAUAAUUGGAAUAGGAUAAUCAUGUUUAACAGUGAGCGAGUUAAAUACCUAUAAUCAAUACACAUUCUCCAAGAACCAUCCUUCUUCUUCACUAAAAUUGCUGGAGAAGCAAAAGGGCUCCUGCUGUUUUGAAUAGUACAGAGUCCAGUAACUCUUUUACUAUCCUCUCAAUCUCAUCUUUAUUACUAUGUGUUGUUCUGUAGGGAAAUUGGUGUUUGGGUACACUGCCAGGCUUAAGUACAAUUGGUGUCAACCCCUCUCUUUGGUGGUAGUCCUUGUGGCUCAUCAAAGACAUCCUUGUACUCCUCCAGAAGUGCAUAAAUAGAUGUAGAAACAUGGUGUUGUGCUGCAUUUUCCUGAGGCAGAAUCAGGUACAUCUCUUUCAACCCUUUGAUGGUAAUGUAUUAACUGAUAUAGGCCAUCUGUGGUUAUCAUCUGAAAAUGAGCAGAAUCGGUAACAACUCUUAACUUAACCUUUUUGCCUCUAGUAAAAACUGUGAAAGUCAUGUUAUCAUAGUCUAAGCCAAUGUGUGUUGAAAAUUUUAGCCAAUCACUGCCAAGAAUCAAAUCAUACCCCUCAUUUCCCAAGAUUCUAGGUGAGAACAUGAAUUGGUGGCCCUGGAUAGUCCAGGCAAAAUUUUGAGCCCUUUGUUUACUUAUCAACCUAUGCCCAGUAGCUGACUUAACAAUGAUAGGUUUAUCCUUCUCAAGGCAUAAACCCAACUCCUUAGCCAUACCUUCUCUUAAAAAACUAAGAGUACUCCCUGUGUCCACAAGUAUCUUUAACUGCUUACUACCAACUUCACCUACAACUCUCAUGGUAGUAGAGUUUGGGCUGUUCAUUAAAGAUUCCAUAGUCAUAUACACUUCCUCAACUGUCUGGUCCUCUCCACAAAUAACAUCCACUUCUUCCUCUGCAUGUUGCAAGUGAGCUAACUCUUGCUCCUCAUCCAUGGUCAUGUAAAAUACCUUGUGCUUACACUUAUGUCCAAAAACAUAUUUCUCAUCACAGUUAUAACAUAAUCAUUUCUCCCUCCUUGCAGCCAUCUCUGCACUGGUUAACAGCUUGACUGAGGACUUAGUGUUGUUGGGAGUAUUGGGCUUGUGUAUCACAGUAACAUCAGGCCUCUUGUAGUUAUUUCCCUGCAACUGAAAUGGUUUCUGGGUUGGUUUAACUCUUCUUGAUAAAGCUUCCAAGGUAAAUAAUUGUUGCUUCCCAGUUUCAAUAGCUUCCAUCAGAGUUUUAGGUUUGAAUAAAAGCAUGAACCCUUGCAUCUCAUCCGAUAAACCACUAAUAAAGUUAGCCACAAAGUAUUCUUCAGCAUAGGUCAUGCUGCUGCUCAGUAACAAACAUGCUCUAAGCUCCUCAAACUUCUCCACAUAACUGUCAUAGCUACCUGUUUGUUUGAGGCUCUUGAAUUACAUCAUUAUCUUUCCCUCAUUCAAGUCAUCAAACUUAAUAGCUACUACUUCCAAAAACUGUUCCCAAGUAAUAGCAAAUAGUUGAUCACACCCGAAAUUUUGUAACCAUUGGAGGGCUUUGCCCUCAAAAUUGUGGACUGCUAGUUGAACCAUGUUUUCCUCGGACAUAGCCGCAGAUAACUUGAAGUAUGUGUUGCACUUAAUGAUCCAAGCUCUAGGAUUAGUACCAUCAAACUUAGGAAAAUCGAUUCUAUGAAAAGAAUUUCCAGAACUUGAGCCAGAUUGGGUAGAAUAGUCAGAUUUAAACCCUGAAGAGAAAUUACUAGUUUAGUGGAAUUACCCUCUUUCCUUGCUGAGAAAGGUGUUGGACCCAGAAUAGAUUGAUUCCCAGCUUCCUUCCCUUUGUUCAACCCCAGCAGAUGUUGUUUGAUUUCUUCCAAUGACUUUGCCAUCUGAUCAUAUUUACUAUCCAUUUUCUGAUCAAGCCCUUUGAUCUGCUCUUUCAACUGGUGUUCACUAACAUUCCUCUUUAUUGCUUCAGCUUGCAGUUGCUGAUCCAGUUUUUUGUGCGCAUCAUGCAACUCCUUCACACACGUGCCGUCUGCCAUGCCCAGCCCUGAUCUUUGCUAAAUAGAAGCAAA